GAUGAACGCUGGCGGCGUGCCUAAUACAUGCAAGUCGAGCGAACAGACGAGGAGCUUGCUCCUCUGACGUUAGCGGCGGACGGGUGAGUAACACGUGGAUAACCUACCUAUAAGACUGGGAUAACUUCGGGAAACCGGAGCUAAUACCGGAUAAUAUAUUGAACCGCAUGGUUCAAUAGUGAAAGACGGUUUUGCUGUCACUUAUAGAUGGAUCCGCGCCGCAUUAGCUAGUUGGUAAGGUAACGGCUUACCAAGGCAACGAUGCGUAGCCGACCUGAGAGGGUGAUCGGCCACACUGGAACUGAGACACGGUCCAGACUCCUACGGGAGGCAGCAGGAGGGAAUCUUCCGCAAUGGGCGAAAGCCUGACGGAGCAACGCCGCGUGAGUGAUGAAGGUCUUCGGAUCGUAAAACUCUGUUAUUAGGGAAGAACAAAUGUGUAAGAAACUAUGCACGUCUUGACGGUACCUAAUCAGAAAGCCACGGCUAACUACGUG
rnacentral:rRNA from 1 species